rnacentral:rRNA from 1 species
GACGAACGCUGGCGGCGUGCUUAACACAUGCAAGUCGAACGGAAAGGCCCUGCUCUUGUGGGGUGCUCGAGUGGCGAACGGGUGAGUAACACGUGAGUAACCUGCCCUUGACUUUGGGAUAACUUCAGGAAACUGGGGCUAAUACCGGAUAGGAGCUCCUGCUGCAUGGUGGGGGUUGGAAAGUUUCGGCGGUUGGGGAUGGACUCGCGGCUUAUCAGCUUGUUGGUGGGGUAGUGGAGUACCAAGGCUUUGACGGGUAGCCGGCCUGAGAGGGUGACCGGCCACAUUGGGACUGAGAUACGGCCCAGACUCCUACGGGAGGCAGCAGUGGGGAGUAUUGCACAAUGGGCGGAAGCCUGAUGCAGCAACGCCGCGUGCGGGAUGACGGCCUUCGGGUUGUAAACCGCUUUCGCCUGUGACGAAGCGUGAGUGACGGUAAUGGGUAAAGAAGCACCGGCUAACUACGUG